UACGAAGGGGGCUAGCGUUGCUCGGAAUGACUGGGCGUAAAGGGCGCGUAGGCGGUUCGUACAGUCAGACGUGAAAUUCCUGGGCUCAACCUGGGGGCUGCGUUUGAUACGUGCGGGCUUGAGUUCGGAAGAGGGUCGUGGAAUUCCCAGUGUAGAGGUGAAAUUCGUAGAUAUUGGGAAGAACACCGGUGGCGAAGGCGGCGACCUGGUCCGAUACUGACGCUGAGGCGCGAAAGCGUGGGGAGCAAACGGG
rnacentral:rRNA from 1 species